GACCUUUAACUUCGGUUUUUUGGUAAAAACCGAAGUGGAAAGUCCACUUUCUACUUCGGUUUUUACCAAAAACCGAAGUUAAAAGUGCUUUAUAAGUCCCUUCCCUAGACCCGAACGGUCAUCUUCUCAAAUCCUCUCUACCCUCUGUGCAAAAAGAAACCCCCAAAACCUCCAUUAACCACCGUGAGCCAACACCCAUUUUGAUUCUCCAAGCCUUUUUUUUUUGUUUUUUCUUUAUUUCUUGCAAUAUUUCUACCCUAUAAACCGAAAUAUAGUCCAAAAAUCUUUUUUUUUUGUUUUUUAGAGAAAAAAAGGCAUUUGGCCGGGGGUUUUUUCUCCAUUUGAAAGUGGUGUUUCUUGCCGGAUUUUGACCGGAUUUUUGACAUUGCAAGGGGAUUUUGAGCUUCAAAACAGGGUCGUUGAUUGAGUGGUGAACUUUGUUGUUCAUUUCGGGUGCAUUGAAGAUUAAUAUUGAAGAUGACAAUUUCUGAAGGGGAGAACACACCAAAUAGGCGAGGCCCAACAAAGAAGAACAAUAUCAAUAAUAAAAAAGCUAAGGGAAUAAAGAGAAAUAUUCAGUUUAAUGAUAAAGGUCAACCUAUAGGGAAAGCAUAUAGUGAGAUGCAAUCGUACCUUGGAGUUAAAACUAGGAGAACGGUCUCUCUCAAUUAUAAGGAUUGGAGACAAGUCCCACAAGAAUUGAAGAAUAGAAUAUGGGAGGAUGUAUAUGUAAGAAAAUAUUUUAUGAAUAUUUUAAUUACUUUAAUAUAUUGAUCAUUUUCAUGAAUUACU